UGGGUUGUAGCUCAGUGGUAGAGUGCUUGUCCAUCAUGUGUGAGGUACUGGGUUCAAUUCUCAGCACCACAU
rfam:Ictidomys tridecemlineatus contig029498, whole genome shotgun sequence.